CAGUAGCCGCGGGAAUACGGAGGGAGCUAGCGUUGUUCGGAAUUACUGGGCGUAAAGCGCACGUAGGCGGUUAUUCAAGUCAGAGGUGAAAGCCCGGGGCUCAACCCCGGAACUGCCUUUGAAACUAGAUGACUAGAAUCUUGGAGAGGUCAGUGGAAUUCCGAGUGUAGAGGUGAAAUUCGUAGAUAUUCGGAAGAACACCAGUGGCGAAGGCGACUGACUGGACAAGUAUUGACGCUGAGGUGCGAAAGCGUGGGGAGCAAACAGGAUUAGAUACCCGAGUAGUCCCUGUCUCUUAUAA
rnacentral:rRNA from 1 species